CAAUUUAUUUAUUAAUCAUUAUGGUACUUAUGGAUAAACAAAUAUUUCAUGAGUUAAUCAAUACAAUUUUCCCUCUUGGGUUUAUGAUUUCCAAAGCGUCAGAUUUACUUAUAUCAUAUUUAGUCAUUUUAUACAUUAUAUCUGUGCAUAAAACCUAAACAGACUAAAACAUUUCUGGGCCAACUUGUUUUUCGUACCAUUGCCGCCAGCUGAUUUUUUUGUUUUUUAAUGUCAUAAUUAUUUUUGACAAAUAAAACUAUUUGAUUUAUUUUAAAAUCAGUACUAACCCACUUACAAUACCCUUAUUAUAACUUAAAACCUGAAUGAAAUUAAUGGUAUUGCAAUAGUGGAUACUCUUGUACGCACCUAUCACAGUCAUAAAAUAUAAAACGGAAUCUUAGUUUUGUCAUGAAUCUAACAAUAUAAUAGAUGUCAGGUAACAUACCUUCUGUAAUA